AAUGAACGCUGGCGGCGUGCCUAACACAUGCAAGUCGGAUGUGCCCGCAAGGGUGCAUGGCAGACGGGUGAGUAACGCGUGGGGAACCUACCUCUUUGUGGGGAAUAACGUUCCGAAAGGAAUGGUAAUACCGCAUGAGACCUUCGGCUGGGAUGCUGGAGGUGAAACCGUGGGGACCGUAAGGCCGUGGGGCAAGGAGAGGGUCCUGCGUCUGAUUAGCUAGUUGGCGGGGUAAUGGCCCACCAAGGCGACGAUCAGUAGCCGGCCUGAGAGGGUGAUCGGCCACACUGGAACUGAGACACGGUCCAGACUCCUACGGGAGGCAGCAGUGGGGAAUUUUGCGCAAUGGACGAAAGUCUGACGCAGCAACGCCGCGUGGGUGAUGAAGGUCUUCGGAUUGUAAAACCCUGUCGUCAGGGACGAAGGUUGGGGCUUUAAUAGAGUUUCAACUUGACGGUACCUGGAGAGGAAGCCCCGGCUAACUCUGUG
rnacentral:rRNA from 1 species